CCUACGGGUGGCAGCAGUGGGGAAUAUUGCACAAUGGGGGAAACCCUGAUGCAGCGACGCCGCGUGAAGGAAGAAGUAUUUCGGUAUGUAAACUUCUAUCUGCGGGGAAGAAAAUGACGGUACCUGACUAAGAAGCCCCGGCGAACUACGUGCCAGCAGCCGCGGUAAUACGUAGGGGGCAAGCGUGAUACGGAUUUACUGGGUGUAAAGGGAGCGUAGGCGGUUUAGCAAGUGUGAAGUGAAAACCCGGGGCGCAACUACGGGACUGCUUUUGAAACUGUUGCACUAGAGUGCAGGAGAGGUAAGUGGAAUUCCUAGUGUAGCGGUGAAAUGCGUAGAUAUUAGGAAGAACACCAGUGGCGAAGGCGGCUUACUGGACUGUAAAUGACGCUGAGGCUCGAAAGCGUGGGGAGCAAACAGGAUUAGAUACCCUGGUAGUC
rnacentral:rRNA from 1 species